CCUACGGGCGACAGCAGUGAGGAAUAUUGGUCAAUGGGCGAGAGCCUGAACCAGCCAAGUCGCGUGAAGGAUGACGGCCCUACGGGUUGUAAACUUCGUUUGUCAGGGAGCAAGUGGGGCCACGCGGGGGCGUAGCGAGAGUACCUGAAGAAAAAGCAGCGGCUCACUCCGUGCCAGCAGCCGCGGUAAUACGGAGGAUGCGAGCGUGAUCCGGAUUUCUUGGGUUGAAAGGGUGCGUAGGCGGAAGAUCAAGUCAGCGGUAAAAAUUCGGGGCUCACCCCCGUCGUGCCGUUGAAACUGGUGUUCUUGAGUUGGCGAGACGUAUGCGUCAUGCGUGGUGUAGCGGUGA
rnacentral:rRNA from 1 species